UAGUACUAGGAUGGGUGA
rnacentral:snRNA from 1 species